rnacentral:lncRNA from 1 species
UGAAGGAGCCAGCUUCAACAGGAGGGGCAAAGCAUUUGUGCCUACAGUGACAACCUGGACACCAGAGAAGUUUUGUGGGAAAGUAGAAAUGGGCUCCCUCAUCCUUAUGGUUGAUGGAUGAGUGCUGGGACCGAGUCCACUGCUUUGCCCUCCUCACCUGAACUGGCUCUCAAGUGUUGUCAGCUUCCCCAUGUGCUUGGAGCCGUGUCUGCACAGGAUGAAGGGAAGGCCAUGAGCUCUGCCAGCUCUGAGGGAUUUUGUGUCACCAUCAUGAAAUACAGCACCUGGACAGAUGGGCUGUUCAUACACCUCCCAAGUCCUUCUUGUCUGGCUGCUGAAGGGAUUUCUCUCAACGUGUCAGUCAUGGCUCACAGCAAAGUGGUGAGACUUGCAAACUACAGACUUGUUUUGGCAUAAAAUGAAGAGGAAUUUUUUUUUUUUAAAGGAAAAAAGCUGAAGAAGGAAAUGACCCACUGGGUGUGACAGGAUCCAUGUAUUUCUCUCUAAAGUACCCAUGGAGAUUUCACAGGAGCAGACCAAGGUGAUGAGGUUGCCAAUCCAGCAAAUUAUUACUGAGAUGUCUUCCAAACAUGAGUGAGUUUCAUAGAGUUCACAGUGGUACUGGAGAUGAUGAUGAAUCCAUGAAGGUUUAACCUGAGUCCAGUGUCCCAUGCACUCCUGCAUUCUCCAUUAAUGACCUUUCCACUCAAAAGGGUUGAUAUUUUUUUAAAUAUUUUUAACCAAUGUAAAGAUACAUCAAUAGAGAGUAACCUUUUCUUCAUUUCCCCCCUCAGCACAUUCAAUGAAAAAGUAUCAACAUAUUGAGCCUAACAGGGAGUUCUCUUUGAGAGGAAAAGGUUAUGACAUCCCAAGGAAUUCUCGGAAAAUGUGAAACACUUGACAAUACAAAUCAACAAUCUGAUUUAUAGGGUGUGCAUUAUGAGCCAUAUCUGGAUGUAAGAUGUCAUUGCGGAUGUCAGUGAAAGAGGAGAAGAAAGAACAGAGGAGAAUGUGAAGAGGGAAAGCUGCAGAACUAAAUCCAAGCCUUUUGUAAGUGGACAUUAAAAGUUAAAGCACUGAUUUCACAAAAACGAUAGCAUUCUGCUGAGAGGGACAAAAUGGAUAUGAGAUUUUGACAGACUGGUUUUGUGCAACCUGGGAUGCAGUCACUUGUGAAAUGUCUUCAACAGUGACUCAGAGGAGCUGGUACCACAGGACCUGCUGAAUAAAUACUCUGCCUGUGUUUCUCCCA